rnacentral:rRNA from 1 species
GAUGAACGCUAGCGGCAGGCCUAACACAUGCAAGUCGAGGGAGGAGCUUUCGGGCUUCGACCGGCGUACGGGUGCGUAACGCGUAUACAAUCUGCCUUUCACAUAGGGAUAGCCCGAAGGAAUUUGGAUUAAUACCUCAUGGUAUAUAGAGGUGGCAUCACCUUUAUAUUAAAGCUGAGGCGUUGAAAGAUGAGUAUGCGUUCUAUUAGCUAGUUGGAGAGGUAACGGCUCCCCAAGGCGACGAUCGAUAGGGGUUCUGAGAGGGAUAUCCCCCACACUGGUACUGAGAUACGGACCAGACUCCUACGGGAGGCAGCAGUGAGGAAUAUUGGACAAUGGUCGGAAGACUGAUCCAGCCAUGCCGCGUGCAGGAAGACGGCCUUAUGGGUUGUAAACUGCUUUUGCAGGGGAAGAAUAAGGACUACGCGUAGUUUGAUGACGGUACUCUGCGAAUAAGCAUCGGCUAACUCCGUG